GAUGAACGCUGGCGGCGUGCUUAACACAUGCAAGUCGAACGGAAAGGCUCCUGCUUGCAGGGGUACUCGAGUGGCGAACGGGUGAGUAACACGUGGGUGAUCUGCCCUGCACUUCGGGAUAAGCCUGGGAAACUGGGUCUAAUACCGGAUAGGACGAUGGUUUGGAUGCCAUUGUGGAAAGUUUUUUCGGUGUGGGAUGAGCUCGCGGCCUACCAGCUUGUUGGUGGGGUAAUGGCCUACCAAGGCGUCGACGGGUAGCCGGCCUGAGAGGGUAUACGGCCACAUUGGGACUGAGAUACGGCCCAGACUCCUACGGGAGGCAGCAGUGGGGAAUAUUGCACAAUGGGCGCAAGCCUGAUGCAGCGACGCCGCGUGGGGGAUGACGGCCUUCGGGUUGUAAACUCCUUUCGCUAGGGACGAAGCGCAAGUGACGGUACCUGGAGAAGAAGCACCGGCUAACUACGUG
rnacentral:rRNA from 1 species